AUUGGACAAUGGGGGCAACCCUGAUCUAGCCAUGCCGCGUGAGUGAUGAAGGCCUNAGNNUUGUANANCUCUUUUAGCUGUGANNNNNAUGACGGUAGUCGCAGAAGAAGUCCCGGCUAACUCCGUGCCAGCAGCCGCGGUAAUACGGAGGGGACUAGCGUUGUUCGGAAUUACUGGGCGUAAAGCGCACGUAGGCGGAUCGGAAAGUUGGGGGUGAAAUCCCGGGGCUCAACCCCGGAACUGCCUUCAAAACUAUCGGUCUGGAGUUCGAGAGAGGUGAGUGGAAUUCCGAGUGUAGAGGUGAAAUUCGUAGAUAUUCGGAGGAACACCAGUGGCGAAGGCGGCUCACUGGCUCGAUACUGGCGCUGAGGUGCGAAAGCGUGGGGAGCAAACA
rnacentral:rRNA from 1 species